GGGCCCGUGGCCUAGCCUGGACCACCAAGUAUCAACCUUGUUGGAGGUCUAUAGGGCACCAGCCUCCUAAGUUGGUAAUCCCCGGUUCAAAUCCGGGCGGGCCCGCCA
rnacentral:tRNA from 1 species